CCUACGGGUGGCAGCAGUGAGGAAUAUUGGUCAAUGGGCGCGAGCCUGAACCAGCCAAGUCGCGUGAGGGAGGACGGCCCUACGGGUUGUAAACCUCUUUUGCCGGGGAGCAACGGGCGCCACGUGUGGCGUCCCUGAGAGUACCCGGAGAAAACGCAUCGGCUACCUCCGUGCCAGCAGCCGCGGUAAUACGGAGGAUGCGAGCGUUAUCCGGAGUUAUUGGGUUUAAAGGGUGCGUAGGCGGAGCGUUAAGUCAGUGGUCAAAUUGAGGGGCUCAACCCCUUCCCGCCAUUGAAACUGGCGUUCUUGAGAGGAAGAGAAGUAGGCGGAAUGCGUGGUGUAGCGGUGAAAUGCAUAGAGAUCACGCAGAACCCCGAUUGCGAAGGCAGCAUGCCGGGUUCCGACUGACGCUGAAGCACGAAAGCGUGGGGAUCGAACAGGAUUAGAUACCCUUGUAGUC
rnacentral:rRNA from 1 species